ensembl:snRNA U1 U1 spliceosomal RNA
CUAUUUACCUGGCAGGGGCUACACUGUGAUCACAAAGGUGGUUUCCCUAGAUCAUGAUUUCUUCAUUGGCUUCUGGAUGUGCUGACCAGCAACGUCCUCCACUGUGGGAAACUUGAUUGCAUAAUUUAUGUUAGUGGGGGGCUGCGUUCACAUUCUCCUC